UUGGUGAAUUGAGGAUUUGUGAUCAUAGCCUUGAAAGGGCAAGUUUGACCUAAGUACUUUUAGUAGUAAACUUGUGUUAGAGAUGUUGAUCCACUUGAAAGGUGGAGGUGUUUAAUUAUGAUGUAGUUACUUGAUGUUAGUAUAAUUCUACAUGUAUUAUUGAUUAACCUAAGAUUCUAGGGUUAUGUCAUGAAAGAGGUAAAUUGAGGGUUUAAAUGUGAUCC
rnacentral:lncRNA from 1 species